rnacentral:rRNA from 1 species
UACGGGGGGGGCAAGCGUUGUUCGGAAUUACUGGGCGUAAAGGGCGCGUAGGUGGCCUGUUAAGUCGAACGUGAAAUCCCCGGGCUCAACCCGGGAACUGCGUCCGAGACUGGCAGGCUCGAAUCCGGGAGAGGGAUGCAGAAUUCCAGGUGUAGCGGUGAAAUGCGUAGAUAUCUGGAGGAAUACCGGUGGCGAAGGCGGCAUCCUGGACCGACAUUGACGCUGAGGAGCGAAAGCUAGGGGAGCAAACGGG